GAAAUGCGAUAAGUAAUGUGAAUUGCAGAAUUCAGUGAAUCAUCGAAUCUUUGAACGCACAUUGCGCCCGCCAGCAUUCUGGCGGGCAUGCCUGUCCGAGCGUCAUUUCAACCCUCAGGGCCCCCCUUCGCGGGGGUGGACCUGGUGUUGGGGGCCGGCCGCCCUGCGCGCGCCGCCCCCGAAAUGCAGUGGCGACCUCGCCGCAGCCUCCCCUGCGUAGUAGCACAACCUCGCACCGGAGCGCGGAGACGGUCACGCCGUAAAACGCCCAACUUUCAAGAGUUGACCUCGGAUCAGGUAGGAAUACCCGCUGAACUUAA
rnacentral:misc_RNA from 1 species